UUAGAGCUCAUUUCAUUUGUUUUCUAUUUUUUUAAUUCAAUUGGAAUAUUUGUAUACUACAUUCUAACUCUUUUGCCUUCCCUACCUUUCCCAUUACUUUUAUUCAAUUUGUACGUUACAAUAAGCAGUUACCAAAGACAGUUCCCACGAACCUUUGUAUUCCAUUUUCUGCAAUUGUUCCGCUCUCCAUUAUCCCUCUACCUAAAUCUACGAAACUCAGGUUUGCGAUCGAAGAAGAACAUGGAAUCAAAAAGGGGAAUAGGGCUACGGUGGUUGUGGUUUGAAUGUGAUCGAAGAAAUCUUCACGGUUGGUUGCAGAAAGGGAGUGGUUUUGGGUGA